rnacentral:lncRNA from 1 species
AUCUUUACAGUUAUAUGUCUUUUUUAUUAAGCUUUUGCUCUGUAUUGUUUAUGUUUGUUUCCUUUGGUGUUCAGCAGGUUCACAGACAGCUCUUGCUGCCUCCAUAAAACUCCUAGAAAGCAUCCCAAGGAGGGCUACAAAGAUGGUGAAGGUUCUGGAAGGUUCUUUCUAACUCAGUGUAUUAUGUGAUUCUAAAGGAGGGGCAGUGACCGGCAACGAUGGAAUCAUCACAAAGGGGAGAAUCUGCACCUCGUGGGAGGCAGUCAGGGUGCUGGGUGCACUUAUCACACUUGCCUGCCUGCAUCAUACUGCUUUCUUUCUCCUCUGCCUCCGUUCUUCCACAUGAGGACUCAGUUACGAGAACGCCAAGGAGGACUAGGAAAAAGGAGAGAAAGAUGGAAGCCAAGUGACCCAGAUUGAGUCUGAAGCCACUACUUGCUUACUGGUACUUCUAAAAAACUAAGUUGGAGCAACAGUGGCAGGAUUAAAAUGGCCCUGCUGGAUCAGACCAAUGCCCUAUAGGUGGCUGAAUGAAGCAACAAAUGUAUACAGAAUGUGUACAGCCUUUCAAUAGCCAGAGGUUUUAACCUCAGCAUCUGGACCAUCGUGGUCCAGCGAACAAUGAAUCCACACUCCAUCAACACAUUUCAUGUCUUGAAUUCCAUGUUAAUUUUUUUGCAAAGCACAGCAUUUUGUGGCAGGACUAAUGUCACUCUCUGUGUCGGGUAGUCACACAUUUAAUAGUUCAUUGUAAGGAAAUUUACUUUCUAUAGCUUUUUUUCAGACUUGCAGGCAGACAUUGUUACUUUACACUCAGUGGUUAUUUUACUAGUGAAAUGAAUUUGUUCUUAAAUGUUUUAGGUAAAUCAUCUUCUCCAUUGCAAGCAGAUUUCCACCCAGCUCAGAUGAUGAGAAAUCUCAAUCUACUUCAGAUAAAAUUAGCUGGGGGAUUAUAACCUCUUGUUAGCAAUGUGGGUAGUAAUAUCUUCACAUGAUAAAAAACAGAUUUGGAAGAGAACAUCUGCCCAAGCCUCAGGCUGUGAAAGCCAGCUUAAAGUGAAGUAAAUUUUGAAUGACUGUCACCGAACUUGUGCAGUAGAACCUGAGGGAGUAUCACUGUGAUAGAACAACCUGAUUUGUUGUAUCUUGUUUUGGAUUUGCUUGGGCUUUGUCCUCUUUGGGUAGGAUUCUGUUCUGUGUGAAAAACCUUCAGUCUCUCUGGAUGCACAGUCGAUGUCUCCUUGUGUCUUUAGAUGCAACAGUCAUGUAAGUAAGUAAAUCCUGAUAAUAAGUGGGUGAAAUCACAAGCUGGUUCACUUCCCUUCCUCUUUUUCCUUGUAAUCAGAAGAUGAAGCCACUUCAGAAGUGCAGAGGAGGCUGUG